AUUGAACGCUGGCGGCAGGCCUAACACAUGCAAGUCGAGCGAGCGGCGGACGGGUGAGUAAUGUCUGGGAAACUGCCUGAUGGAGGGGGAUAACUACUGGAAACGGUAGCUAAUACCGCAUACCAUCAGAUGUGCCCAGAUGGGAUUAGCUAGUAGGUGGGGUAAUGGCUCACCUAGGCGACGAUCCCUAGCUGGUCUGAGAGGAUGACCAGCCACACUGGAAAUGAGACACGGUCAGGACUCCUACGGUAGGCAGCAGUGGGGAAUAUUGCACAAUGGGCGCAAGCCUGAUGAAGCCAUGCCGCGUGUAUGAAGAAGGCCUUCGGGUUGUAAAGUACUUUCAGCGAGGAGGCGUUACUCGCAGAAGAAGCACCGGCUAACUCCGUGCCAGCAGCCGCGGUAAUUC
rnacentral:rRNA from 1 species